AUAUAAUUUUUCUGACGUCAGACACUCAAAUCAAUCCAUGUGUUCGUAGAUAGUAGAUGUUGUUGUGUCCUGUUAAAUUGUUAUACGAUGAUGACUGAUGUUCCCAUAUUUUGACUAUUUUAUUGAUUGUGACUGUUUAUUUAACGCAUCAUGUAAAUGUAACGGAAUUUGAUGAGACUGUUAUUAAAGUGAGAGGGUUAGCGCUAUAGAACCAGGUUUAAUCCACCAUUUUCUACAUUUGAAAAUGCCUGUACCAAGUCAGGAAUAUGACAGUUCUUGUCCAUUCGUUUUUG
rnacentral:lncRNA from 1 species